rnacentral:lncRNA from 1 species
CACAACUGAAGAAGCAGAAACCGUAGGAGCAAAAUUCUCUCUACAACUCAAGAAGCAAGGAAGAAGAAUUCGUAGGAGGUAAGAUUCUCUCUCUACAUUCAAAGUGUUCUUCGUCAAAUUCGAGGUGUUCUUGAGCAAAUUCAAGGCAUUCUUCAUCAAAUCCAGCGUUCGAUCCGAGAUAACGGUGCCAAACCUUCGGAUUAACGUUAAUCAAUUCAAGUCAAGAUCAUUG